UACGUAGGGCGCAAGCGUUGUCCGGAAUUAUUGGGCGUAAAGAGCUCGUAGGCGGCUUGUCACGUCGGGUGUGAAAAGCCCGGGGCUUAACCCCGGGUCUGCAUUCGAUACGGGCUGGCUAGAGUGUGGUAGGGGAGAUCGGAAUUCCUGGUGUAGCGGUGAAAUGCGCAGAUAUCAGGAGGAACACCGGUGGCGAAGGCGGGGUCUCUGGGCAACAACUGACGCUGAGGAGCGAAAGCGUGGGGAGCGAACAGG
rnacentral:rRNA from 1 species